UACGGAGGGUGCAAGCGUUGCUCGGAAUCACUGGGCGUAAAGGGCGUGUAGGCGGUUUCGUAUGUCUGGCGUGAAAGCCCCGGGCUCAACCCGGGAAGUGCGUUGGAAACUGCGAAACUAGAGUCUCGGAGAGGAAGGUGGAAUUCCAGGUGUAGCGGUGAAAUGCGUAGAUAUCGGAAGGAACGCCGGUGGCGAAAGCGAUCCGCUGGACCUCUUCUGACGCUGAGGCGCGAAAGCCAGGGGAGCAAACGGG
rnacentral:rRNA from 1 species